UACGAACUGUGCGAACGUUAUUCGGAAUCACUGGGCUUACAGGGUGCGUAGGCGGCUAUUCAGGUCAGGUGUGAAAGCCCCCGGCUCAACCGGGGAACUGCGCUUGAAACCGAGUGGCUCGAGUCAACUAGAGGUGCACGGAACUUCCAGUGGAGCGGUGAAAUGUGUUGAUAUUGGAAGGAACACCGGAGGCGAAAGCGGUGCACUGGGGUUGGUCUGACGCUGAGGCACGAAAGCCAGGGGAGCGAACGGG
rnacentral:rRNA from 1 species